CCAAUAGCGUAUAUUAAAGUUGUUGCAGUUAAAAAGCUCGUAGUUGAAUUUCGGGAUCAAGGGAUUGGUCAUGCCUCGGUAUGUACUGGUCUUAUUGGUUCUCACCUUCUAAGGAACCAUGAUGUCAUUCAUUUGAUGUUGUGGGGAAUUAGGACUGUUACCUUGAAAAAAUUAGAGUGUUUAAAGCAGGCUUACGCUUGAAUACAUUAGCAUGGAAUAAUGAAAUAGGACAUCAGAUUCUAUUUUGUUGGUUUCUCUAGGAUCGAUGUAAUGAUUAAUAGGGAUAGUUGGGGGCAUUAGUAUUCAAUUGUCAGAGGUGAAAUUCUUGGAUUUAUUGAAGACUAACUACUGCGAAAGCAUUUGCCAAGGAUGUUUUCAUUAAUCAAGAACGAAAGUUAGGGGAUCGAAGACGAUCAGAUACCGUCGUAGUCUUAACCAUAAACUAUGCCGACUAGGGAUCGGAUGAUGUUAAUUUUUUAAUGACUCAUUCGGCACCUUACG
rnacentral:rRNA from 1 species